AUGGAGGGUGUUGAUGACAAGGUAAAGCCAGCAUGGAGAACACUGUACAGGGGACUGGUGAUAUGUAAUGGAGGGUGUUGAUGACAAGGUAAAGCCAGCAUGGAGAACACUGUACAGGGGACUGGUGAUAUGUAAUGGAGGGUGUUGAUGACAAGGUAAAGCCAGCAUGGAGAACACUGUACAGGGGACUGGUGAUAUGUAAUGGAGGGUGUUGAUGACAAGGUAAAGCCAGCAUGGAGAACACUGUACAGGGGACUGGUGAUAUGUAAUGGAGGGUGUUGAUGACAAGGUAAAGCCAGCAUGGAGAACACUGUA